rnacentral:misc_RNA from 1 species
UCCGGUUUGUCACCGGCAGUAUCAUUAGAGUGCCCAACUGAAUGUAGCAACUAAUGACAAGGGUUGCGCUCGUUGCGGGACUUAACCCAACAUCUCACGACCCGAGCUGACGACAGCCAUGCAGCACCUGUGUUCCGAUUCCCUUUCGGGCACUCCCAGCUCUCACCAGGAUUCCGGACAUGUCAAGGGUAGGUAAGGUUGUUCGCGUUGCAUCGAAUUAAUCCACAUCAUCCACCGCUUGUGCGGGUCCCCGUCAAUUCCUUUGAGUUUUAACCUUGCGGCCGUACUCCCCAGGCGGUCAACUUCACGCGUUAGCUUCGUUACCAAGGAAUUGCUUCCCCGACAACCAGUUGACAUAGUUUAGGGCGUGGACUAC